UCCCAAUGAUGAUCUCUCAUACGUCUUACUAUCUGUUUUGGGGCUAGAACCUGCAAAGGUUGAACCCACUAGCACCAGCAGAUGGGAAAGAGGAAACUUGGCUCCGGAAGGAACAGUCUGAUGGGAU
rnacentral:snoRNA from 11 species